AAUUUUAUAGUGAAGUUCACAUUAUUAUUUCAUGAUAAAGAUUGGUUAGUCUUC
rnacentral:tRNA from 1 species